CAAACGGUCCUUUUCAGGGCCAACAAAUUACACAAAACCUAAAAG
rfam:Solenopsis invicta Si_gnG.contig20190, whole genome shotgun sequence.